rnacentral:rRNA from 1 species
CUCAGGACGAACGCUGGCGGCGUGCUUAACACAUGCAAGUCGAACGGAGAAUUUAUUUCGGUAAAUUCUUAGUGGCGAACGGGUGAGUAACGCGUAGGCAACCUGCCCUCCAGUUGGGGACAACAUUCCGAAAGGAAUGCUAAUACCGAAUGUGAUCCCUUUUCCGCAUGGAGAAGGGAUGAAAGAUGGCCUCUAUUUAUAAGCUAUCGCUGGAAGAUGGGCCUGCGUCUGAUUAGCUAGUUGGUGGGGUAACGGCUCACCAAGGCGAUGAUCAGUAGCCGGUCUGAGAGGAUGAACGGCCACAUUGGGACUGAGACACGGCCCAAACUCCUACGGGAGGCAGCAGUGGGGAAUCUUCCGCAAUGGACGAAAGUCUGACGGAGCAACGCCGCGUGAGUGAUGAAGGUCUUCGGAUUGUAAAACUCUGUUGUCAGGGACGAAUGUGCGAACGUUGAAUAAGCGUUUGUAUUGACGGUACCUGACGAGGAAGCCACGGCUAACUACGAGCCAGCAGCCGCGGUAAUACGUAGGUGGCAAGCGUUGUCCGGAAUUAUUGGGCGUAAAGAGCAUGUAGGCGGGCUUUUAAGUCCGACGUGAAAAUGCGGGGCUUAACCCCGUAUGGCGUUGGAUACUGGAAGUCUUGAGUGCAGGAGAGGAAAGGGGAAUUCCCAGUGUAGCGGUGAAAUGCGUAGAUAUUGGGAGGAACACCAGUGGCGAAGGCGCCUUUCUGGACUGUGUCUGACGCUGAGAUGCGAAAGCCAGGGUAGCAAACGGGAUUAGAUACCCCGGUAGUCCUGGCUGUAAACGAUGGGUACUAGGUGUAGGAGGUAUCGACCCCUUCUGUGCCGGAGUUAACGCAAUAGGUACCCCGCCUGGGGACUACGAUCGCAAGAUUGCAACUCAAAUGAAUUGACGG